UACGCUACGGUGCCCCUAACACAUGCCNGUCGAGCGAUCGAGCCAGUACAGAUUUUCCUUCGGGUUAUGACGACUGGUGACGGAGCGGCGAACUGGUGAGUAACACGUGGUCAACCUGCCCUCUUGACGGGGACAACCUACCGAAAGGGAGGCUAAUACCCGAUAUUGUUCAAACCCGAUGGGGUUUGUUCCAAAGACAGUCCUGCCGUCGCAAGGGGAGGGGACUGCGGCCUAUUAGCUUGUUGGUAGGGUAAAAGCCUACCAAGGCAAUGAUGGGUAGCUGGUCUGAGAGGACGAUCAGCCACAUUGGGACUGAGAUACGGCCCAGACUCCUACGGGAGGCAGCAGUGGGGAAUCUUUCGCAAUGGACGAAAGUCUGACGGAGCGACACCGCGUGGGGGAUGACGGCUUUCGGGUUGUAAACUCCUUUUCUGGGGGAAAAUAAGGUCAAAAGAAAUUCUCUCCCAUGACGGUCUCCAGGAAUANCAUCGCUACUUCNNCCACACCCCGGNAAACAAAGAUNCANCNUNUCCGAAUACUGGCUAAAGGCU
rnacentral:rRNA from 1 species